CCUACGGGGGGCAGCAGUGGGGAAUAUUGCGCAAUGGGCGAAAGCCUGACGCAGCGACGCCGCGUGAGGGAUGAAGGUCUUCGGAUCGUAAACCUCUGUCAGCAGGGAAGAACGGUCACUGUGCUAAUCAGCAGUGAAUUGACGGUACCUGCAAAGGAAGCACCGGCUAACUCCGUGCCAGCAGCCGCGGUAAUACGGAGGGUGCGAGCGUUAAUCGGAAUUACUGGGCGUAAAGCGCUCGUAGGCGGUAUGUCAAGUCAAGGGUGAAAUCCCCGGGCUCAACGUGGGAACUGCCUUUGAAACUGGCAAACUGGAGUGUGUGAGAGGAUAGUGGAAUUCCAGGUGUAGGGGUGAAAUGCGUAGAUAUCUGGAGGAACAUCGGUGGCGAAGGCGGCUAUCUGGCACAUAACUGACGCUGAGGAGCGAAAGCGUGGGUAGCAAACAGGAUUAGAUACCCGAGUAGUC
rnacentral:rRNA from 1 species